rnacentral:misc_RNA from 1 species
CCUUUAAUGGAAGGCUCGGCUCCUCUUGAAAUGCAUUAGUGGAACUUCUGAUUGCGGACCUGCUCCAGCGUGAUAGUUAUCUACGUUGCGGCGGUGAAGCAGCUUAACUUUGGAGGAUCUGCUUAAAACCGUUGCAUAUAUGCGCAACAAAUUCAUGACAAUUUGACCUCAAAUCAGGUAGGAUUACCCGCUGAACUUAA